UGAAAGAGGAUGGCAAUCUCGCUGAAGCUGUUUCUUUUUCUUCACAACAUAUAGGAAAAUGUUGCCCCUUUUUGGAGAAAGUAACAACCUCCACCGUCACUACUUAAACCAGUCUUGAACGAAUGUCAGGUCCUUGGGAAACUCUCCAACCUUAUCUCCUGUCCUGGCCAGGUGUGCUCCAGGUGAACCAUUUGGCUAAGUCAAUUUGAACUAUUUAGGAGACCUUGGUACCUAUGAUUCCUUCUUCUUGGAAGAUCCUUUCUGUUUUGUCAGCUCCUGCUUCCGUGUUGUGGAAAACUCAUCUAACCUCCUAGUCCUGAAUCAGGGGCCAUAAAGGGAAUUGAUGAGGACAACUGACCUCCCAAUAUGUGGAUUCAGUUUCUGUAUGUCAAUUUACCAACUCCCACUGGUAGUCUGAAGAGAUAUGGCUACUGGAGAACAGAAAAUCACCAUUAUUCAUAAAAAGCAAUUUUAAGUGUUUAUCUUUUUGUAUUUGAAUAGCUUUGUUAAAGAGACGUACUCAAGAAUACUAUGAAGAGACUCUUAUUAUACUCCUUACCUGGAGAUAAUUGUGAUGCCAGAAAUUCAAAUUUAUAUUCAACAAUAUGGUUUUUCAACUUUGAAUAUUAUAAACAUCUAGGCAGUAUUUAUUGUUUGCACAUUUGCCAUCCACUAAAAUGAGAUUAUUCUAAGCAUAAAUUAUACUCUUCAUCAUUCAAGAUUAUAAACAUUUAUAAUAAUCAUACUAUUCACAGACAUUUCCCUGCUCUCAAAUCACUAGAGCUAAUAGACAAAGUAGAUACAGCUACAAACAGUGGGAGCAAAUGUUUCUGGCUGACCUACAAAUA